UAAGAUCCCUCGAAGAUGACGAGGUUAAUAGGUUCGAGGUGGAAGCGUGGUGACACGUGGAGCUGACGAAUACUAAUCGAUCGAAGACUUAAUCAAUUU
rnacentral:rRNA from 1 species